rnacentral:lncRNA from 1 species
AGGAUAAGAAGAUGUUCCAGCGAUAAACUCUUGAGACUGCAUUGUGGACUGUGUUUGGGGAUUGAAAUUUAUCUCUGGCCGUGGUUCAGGCAAGCCAAUCUGUUGUUGGUUGGAAUAGUUCUGAUUUACAGAAUAUGGUCCUAACUGUUUAUCUUCCAGUAUUGUCGAGAUCUGAUCGGUCAAAUACUUCUGCAGGUACACCACCACAUCAGCUACUAUCAUCGUUAGGGCUUGAUUUUGGAUUGGAGCUUGACUUGGGAAAAGAUUAGGAACAAUUCCCAUUUGGUUCUGCUGAUUGGUCUCAGGUCUCACGAAUUGGUACGUCAUUGGCAUCAUUGGAGCUUGAGUGUGGACUAAACUGGGAACACUACCCAUUUGGUUCUGCUGAAUAAUCUCAGGUCUCAUAAAUUGCUGCUCUUGCUGGUACAUCAUUGGCAUCAUUGGAGCUUGACUGUGGACUAGAUUUUGAACAAUCCCCAUUUGGUUAUGCUGAUUGGUCUCAGGUCUCACGAAUUGCUGCUCUUGCUGGUACAUCAUUGGAGCUUGCCUGUGGGAUAGAUUUGAAACACUGCCCAUUUGGUUAUGCUGAUUAGUCUCAGGUCUCAUAAAUUGUUGCUCUUGCUGGUACAUCAUUGGUUGAUACUGCAUACAUAAACUUUGGUUGAAAUUUUCUUGUGCUCCACGGUUUGGUUCAGUGUUCUGACGGCUCCUGAAAUGCUGAUAUUGAAGCUGAGGAACAUGAGCCAUUUGAGAGUCAUAGUAACGAUUUGAAUCCCUUCCCAUUUGGUCGCACUCUUCAAAGAAGUCGAACUCAGAUCCGGUUGGAUAAUGAAAUCUCUUGUAGAGAUCCACAUCAUCAAUAUGUUGUGUAAAUUCCUUGACGAAUGAGAGACCCAUACCAUGAAAGAUGUGCAUCUCUGAAUCCAGUAAUCUCACAACAUAGUGAGGAUUCGUUACGGAUCCAAAGAAGUACCCUUCCACACGACCAAACAGAGCUCUUGUUUCAAUGAUGUAGACUAUAGUACCUACAUUCAAAGGUUUGUGAUCUCCACUAUUCAUAACUACCACAUGUUUAUAUGGUACCUGUAAUGAUAACUUGGGUUUAAAUUCAAGCAUGGAACUGCUAAGACAAUAAUAGUAAAAGAAAAAGUUUCUCUCGAGAUUACCAUGUUUCACAACUCCAACAGGAACACUGGCUUGAGGAAAUAACGAUAUCAAUAUGGAGGAGAUAAAGCUAUAUAUAUAUAUAUAUAUCUUAGUUACGAUUGUGUGAUGUUUACAUAGAAUCUCUUAGUACUUAUCUUCCUAGAUCUUCUUGGAAAUUGUCUCGUGUAAGUUCAACUAACUAAAAAGACAGAUCCGUUUGGUUUGGGUAAAUCCGGUUUGGCACGGUUUAUUUGAUAAAAUAUACAAUCACAGAGCAAGUUUGGUUAAUAGAAAACAGAGCAAGUUUUGUUCAAAAAAAAAAAGAAAAGAAAACAGAGCAAGUUUUGGUUGCUCUGACGUUAUUAACAUGAGAAACGGAAACAUUAACUCUCUCUCAGAAAUCAGAAGAUGUCAACUAAACAGGUACCAAUGUUUCAUUUAUCAAAUCUGUCCAAGAAUGUAGGUAAAAAAAAGUUUCAAGAGUCCCUUGUGCUUCUGAUCUUGACCUCUCCCACAUCAAAGCCCACGUCCUCUACCAUAUUGAUCCUUUUGCUGGUGGUUUUGAUCUGUUCCUCCCCCACCUCCCCCUGUUCCUAGUUGAGCAAGCAGUUCUCGUUGUCUUCUAAGAUGUUCCUGCCAGUAAAUCGCUUGAUGUUCCUCUGACAUCACCGGAGCUGGAAUAUUGGCUAGAUUGGGAAUAAGGUCACUCCGGGUCUGCUGAUUCAUCUCAGGUCUUUGGGAAGGGGGCAUACCAGGAGAUUGGUAGAAAUGGUUCCAACCUACAGUUGUUCCACCUUGUGGUAUUGCUGGCAUUUGACCACUCAAAUUCUGCUGCUGGUACCAGAAAUGAUUAUGCUGAUUCAUCACAGGUAUGCCAGGAGGGUUGAACAUCACUUGGUUUGGUCUAUGGAAAUAAGCCUCAUGCUGCAUAGGAGGAGGGUAGUUGAAUUGGUUCUGGCCUGCAAAAAACGUNNNNNNNNNNNNNNNNNNNNNNNNNNNNNNNNNNNNNNNNNNNNNNNNNNNNNNNNNNNNNNNNNNNNNNNNNNNNNNNNNNNNNNNNCAGAAGACGUUGGUCCUUGUGCCCUUGCACUAUGGCUUGUGACCUGCUGAUUCCUCAUUUGAUUCUCAAAAGCAGAGGGAUUGUAUCUCUCAUCAAGCCAUGGUUGAUGCUUGCCAGCAGAAGCUAGAGGUAUCCUUCUAUCUUGUUGAGUAGACGACGAUGUAGCAGUAAGCCUCUGAGAUGCUGCAUUGGGACCACGUUGAUUGUGACCUCCAUUGGGACGACUACUCCUGGAACCAUGGUGCCGGUUCGUCCUUGGAUUCUGAUUGGAAAGUGGAGCCAUUUGAGAGUGAGAAUGACUUGAAGAGCUUCCCAAAGUAAAUUGCUUCUUAUUUCUUGAGUUGUUGGUUUCUUCUUCACCAGUCAGCCUUCUCUUUCCCCUGUCACGCUGCGGUUGGUUUACAUAGUACAUUAGAAUAAGGCUCAACUCAAGCAUGCGGUUGUCGUCAAAUCAAAACAGGGUUUAUUGUUUAUUUACAUUGGGAUCAUAUCUAUCACCACCAUCAUUGCGAUCGUCUUCUUGAUCUGCCAUCGUUUCACUAACGUCACGGUUUCUUGAAGAAGAAGCAUCUGUUAUAUUGUUGGCUUCAUCAAUGCCGGAAGAAGAAGCAGGGGGAACAGAGACAUUUAGCGGAACAGCUUCAGUCUCUAGAUUGACAUUACUAUAUGGAACGAGAGGACGGUCCUGAAACGAGCAAGCAAGUUUUAGUUACUUCCUGAUCAAGCAAACAAGAACAAAAGAAAACUAAAAAAGAAUCUUAGAAUCAUUGUCCUUGUUUCAGUUGUUUGAUCUCACUACUUUCAUCGUUUCUUGAGGGAGAAGUAACCGUUUGGAUCAUCAUCAUUGAAGAAGCAACUAGAGAAAAAAAGCUUUACCGUAAGCAACCCAUCGUCUUCUUCUUCGUCGAAUUUGAUGCCACCAAGAAUAGCAGCCGUGGGAUUCGGAUCAUCUUGGUCGUUCCCCAGCCCAUCCAUGGCGAAACUGAAAGAGAGAGACGAGAGACGAAGGAGAGAGCGGGAGAGAACGGCUCACAGUAUCCGUUGCUGAAAUAGGAUAUAUUUGAUACGGUUUAGUCCGGUUACAUACGCUUUAUUGAGUGAGUCAAUGAGAGCGGUGAUAGUUUUUAAUAUUAUCAUAUCAAAUUCUCAUACAGUUAAUAUAUUAACCAAACUAAACUAGCAAACAUUGUAAGACGAACGCUUUAUUCUAGUUACUCUAUGUUUUAUAAAAAUUGUUAGUAAGCUAUAGUGGACUAGUAGUCAUAUAAGGGUUUGACUAGUUUAGACUCAAUACUCAAUCAGGUGCAGAUGUUUGUAUGGAAGUGGUAAUUUCGGUUUCAAGUAUUAUGUUUAUGAUGAUUAUGUUAAUGUUACUAUGUUACACACACAUUAAAAAGAAUACAUCACAAAGCAAAUUCUAUAACCACUGCAAGAAAACAGAAAAGACAAAGAGUUAGAGAUGUUGCUACACAAUUGGAACAAGUUUAACCAAAAAUGAUAGAUAAUUCAUAAAAUUAUGGCUUUGAAAGUUGAAUAAGAGCAUUAAGAAACAAAGCUUCAGCUUAUCUUGAAAAAACAGUCAUGGAAGAGUGGAAAAAAAGUUCAAGAAUCUUUUUUACUUAGGCUUUUUGUUAGUCUCGACCUCUCCCACCUCCUCUUCCGCAGUAAGAAGAUGGUCCAGCGUUAAAUAUCUGAGACUGCAUUGUGGGCUGAGUUUGGGUAUUGAGAUUCAUCUCCGGCCAUGGUUCGGGCAAGUCAAUCUGUUGUUGGUUGGAAUAGUUCUGAUUUACAUAAAAUGAUCCUGACUGUCUAUCUUGCAGUAUUGUCGAGAUAUGAUCAAUCAAAUACUGCCGCAGGUUCACCACCACAUCAGCCACUCUCAUCGUUAUAGCUUGCUGUUGGACUGGAGCUUGACUUGGGAAAAGAUUGGGAACACUCCCCAUUUGGUUCUGCUGGUUGGUCUCAGGUCUCACGCAUUGCUUCUCUUGCUGGUACAUCAUUGGCAUCAUUGGAGCUUGCCUGUGAACAUUGCCCAUUAUGU